AAAUCCCUGUCUGCACCCACCAGCCACAGGCCCUUUGUCAGCUGGGUGGAGUGGCACUUCCCUGGAACUGGAGUGCACAGAGCAAGAUCCUUUAUGACAUCGGGGCUUGAAUCCCAGCUGAGUACCAGGAAGGCACAGGAGUCAGCAGAGCAGGACAAACCAUCCCAUUCACACCAGCAUGGCACAGUGAGGAAGCCCUUCAUCGAUGGGGUGGAGUGACACUUCCCCAGAACCGGGGCGCAUAGAGUGGGAUCCUUUAAGACAUAAGGAUUUGAAUCCCAGAUGAGCCCCAAGAGGCCUGGUAGACUGUGGAGCAGGAAAAAGAAAAUAAAACAAACAAACAACAAUAACAACAACAACAAACAGCCCACUUGUGCCCACACAGUAUUGUGAGGAUGGCCUGAACAGAGUGGUUUGGGACACCUGGUCCGGGGAGAAGAAACUGGGAUGUCACCAUUUUUCUACCCAUCACAAACAAGCUCCUGACGGUUGAGCUCCAUCCAUCAGAAGCAUUGCAUUAUAGAAGGAAUGCAAAGUGCAAGACACAGUUAAUGUUCUGUUUUUAAAUUUCCAAAUAUGAAUCUCAAUCAUAGGAUAGAGGAUGUGAUGACUGAAUUGAUCAAAAAAAUCAAAGGGUAAAUCCCUGAGUAGAACAGAGACUAUGUGCCAUAAAAAGUACUGUAAACAGAGCAGAGAACUCGGAGCAACAGCUCCCCUUCCCAGGAAGAUUCGAUGAGGGCUGCAUGGGGAAGAUGUGAUUAUAUACUGAAUGUCAGGAAGAAGUUUGCACUGGAGAAAAUAGGGGACUGUUGAAGCAGGACAGAAGUCAGAAAUGGGCUCUCAUUGGUAAAGAUAAAGGUAUUCAAGAUAUGUGAAAUAGCUCAACUAUUCUAGACACCGUCCAUCUUUGUGUCAAUAGGAUACAAGUACCCAGAGAGGCCUGUAUCCUUCGUCCUUGCAAUAACAUCCAAGGCUUUACCCCCAAGGAGCUCUGUGACCAUCCGUCACCCAAUGCCAGCCAGAAGCCUAGAGAAUCCUGCCCUGCAAUGUUCUCUUGCCAAUCUUGUAUUAACCCUUGAUGGAAAGUGACGGCCUGAGCCCCAAAAAGGGUAAGUCAAGUGGUUUCAUCAAACUCAUAGGAAAAGUUUUUCAGUGGUUUUGUGUCUGCCAGUUAAAGAAUGGUUGUUCAGUUAAUGUCGGUAUAUGUGGCUGAAUUUUUUCUGAGGCUUGCUCUUGGUAAUGAAGGAAGUAGGAAGGUUUGGAAGAAGUUAUCCCUCCUCACACAUGUCAACUUCUUCAGUGACUACUUCAAUCCACCAAGAAGAGAUUAAAAGCUAGUCGGCAGCCAGAUUGGCUUAGGUCUUUUCUCA